UAAAUUGACCUUUUAAAGGCUACCCACAUUGGUCAAGAUCACAAAAGGACAACUGCACUAUCGGUAACUUGCCUUACAUAAAGGUAAACACUCCACUAGUGCCAAAGGAAACCGCCCUGGCUGUUCAAAAUAAAAACGAAACAGAACAACGGUGCAUUUGAUCCAUAUCAAAACAAUAGAAGAGUUUUAUAUUUAGGAUCAUCUCUAAAGGGAAAUGGGGGAUGAUUGCAGCAUGGGAAACUUGUCUCUGAGUGAAAGUUCUCAAGGACACACUCUUCCUCUCAUUGAAAUGCUUCCGAUUUUCUCAGGGUCUUCAUGAAUAAGCUUUUCACCAAGAAUCGCUCCAAGCAACACUACACAACCAAAUUAAUUUCUGACCUAUAAUUAGCUUGUUAUUUGCCUUGCCUAUCUUUUGGUCAAUAAAGUGGCUUACAAUUAAUUUGAAAUAACCAUAAAAUAACUAUUAAAUUAAUUGAUGUAUAAUAAAUUGUUCUAACUGCUUCAUCCUGAUCAGGGUCAUGAGGGAUCCAAAACCUUUCCUAGAAAUACACACUGGACAGGUGAAUUAGUUCGUCACAAUGCAGGAAAAGUUUAUCAAAGUCGGGAGGUUGGAGGAAACAGCUGAAUCCCAGGGAAUCUUGGUACGAAGAAGUGGAGUUAGAAUGAACCCACACAAAGGUAACCAGAUUCCUUUCUCAAGUUGGGCUGUGUGGACUGAAGUGGGCAGGCAAAUAGAGAAUCCCUGUAGAGCUCAGUCUUCCCGUCCACCACAUGCUUAUUUGUGUUUAAUUUGGAUAGAGCUGCCAGGCUGCCAGCAUAGAUAUAAAGCCUGUGCCAGCCACGCCAACGAACUGGCCUCAGUCUUUUCAAUCAAGAGAAUCUGAGAGCAGCAGGGCCAAGAUCCAGAGCCACGCUGAUAGACUGCCACAUGGAGCUGGUUCCAGGCAUCAGCGUUAUCAAGACGAGGGGAUCGGAGUCAAAUACACGGUUACCCGUGAGUUCAAUAGCCAGAAGGACGUUCAGUCAUCCAGAUCAGCUGGAUAAUCAGCUGUAAUAAUAAUAAUAAUAAUAAUAAUAAUAAUAAUAAUAAUAAUAAUAAUAAUAAUAAUAAUAAUGAAGCAUGGUGAUGCACAGGGUAGUGAUGAUGAUGAAUCUCUGGUCUGUGCAGAUUUUCACACUAUUCCUGUGUUCAUUUGGGUUUUGUCCCGAUUUUCAAAAACAAGCAUGAAGGUUGGCUUGCUGUGAUGAAUUACCCCAGGUGUGAAUGAUUGUGUGAAAGUGUGUGUGUGUGUGUGUGUGUGUGUGUGUGUGUGUGUGUGUGUGUGUGUGUGUGUGUGUGUGUGUGUAUUCUAACCUCACAUGCAGUGUUCCUGGAAUAGGCUUUGGGUCCAUUGUGACACUGACAUAAUCGAAUGAAAUGGAUGAAUGAAUGAAUGAAUGAAUGAAUGAAUGAAUGAAUGAAUGAAUGAAUGAAUGAUGAUGAUGGUGCUAAAAUUCUUUCCAAACUAUGACAACACUUUAGCAUUCUUAUAUAACUGGUAGUUGAUCUUGUUUUAAUUCCCUGUCAGUUGAUUAAAG